rnacentral:lncRNA from 1 species
CGGCGGACAGCGCCGGCCGCGCAGCGCCUCACUUCGCCUCACAAGCCCGCCAGCGGCUCCGGCGGCCCCGCUGCCCGGUGAGCUUCCAUGGUGGCUCCUGCCCCCUGACCCGGAAACAGUUCUCGGUGUUUCCGGCUCGCUGAGUUUUUCCUCCGCCUUCGCGUGCCCGCUGGGUGCCGACGAGUCCCGCAAACCUCGGGGGACCCCGGGCUUGCUAUCUUGUCAUCUGUGGGACUCGUGGGAGCCGAGGGGCUUCCACACCGUGUCCCCUGGGCCUGCAGGCCGCUUCCCUGCAUCCCCUCCCGGCUCUCCACUCUCGGCUUGGGGCUGUGACGGACUUGUUGGCCGGGACUCUUGUUUGCAGAGAUGCUGCAAAGCAAGCUCAAACACUUGGCUUCUGACAUCCCGGCCAGCAGAUCCCGGACAGUCCGAUCUAACGAAGCAUUCCUGAAGCAUCAGGGCCAGUUAUUCACGGUAUUCCAGAACGGAGGCUGGAUGCUCCCUACCCACAAGACCCCAAGGGAACUGCAAUGUAGUCAAUACAGUUUCAUUAUUAUGUUACCUUAAGCAACUUCAUAACUACUAUAAACUUAACAUUUUUUUCCCUCUAUAAAGUUGUAGUCCUAUUACCUACUUCACACGGUUGCCUGAGAGGGCACUGUGCUAAAGGUUUUUAUUUGUUUUCAUAGUACCAUGGAACAAGGUGUAUGUGUCAUGAUACAGCUAGCUAAGGAGCUUGAGUCAAACCCAGCAAUCAAAUCCAGGAAAGGGCAGGAUGUGACCAGGCUAAGAGGUUAUGGAGCUGGAGCCCACUGUGCAUGUUGGGUAGAAGUAGAAAGUACAGCUUUGUGUGUUGCACUGUUUGGUGUUUCCUGUGGAUGGUGGAAAAAUUAUUGGAGACUUUAAAGCUAAGGACUAUAUGAUGAGGGCUCUAUGACCCAAGUGUUUGUGUGUGCCUUUGUGUGUGCGUGUGUGCGAGCGCGCAAGCGCACAGCCUUAGCUGUCCCGGAACUAGCUCUGUAGACCAGGCUGGCCUCGAACUCACAGAGAUCCACUUGUUUCUGCCUCCUGAGUGCUGGGAUUAAAGGUGUGUACCAUCACUGCCUGGCCCCCAAGUGGGGUUUUUUUGGUUGUUUUUAAUAUCAUUGUGUGUGUAUAUAUACAUGAUGGGGGUGGUGCUUCCAUGGCAUAUAGAGGACAACUUUGUGGAGUCUUUCCUUACACAUAUGCAUGGGUUCUGGAGAUCAAAUCCAAAUUGCCAGAUUUGCAUGGCAAGCUCCUUUACCCACAGAGCCAUCUUACAGGCUCUCAAUUUGACAAUCUUCUGAUUGGAAAUCCGUUUCUGCUUUCUUCCUGCACACAGUGACUAAACAUUCUUUUGCUCAAAUGUUGACUUUCAUUCCAAGAAAUUAAGUCUUGCUGAAGCCUAAGAAUUCAUUUUCCGGGUCCCUUUGUAGUGAAGAACUAUCUAGCUUUAACUUGGCUGCCUAAAACUGUGAAUGGCUUUAGUUAUAAAGCCUAUACAGAUUGCAAGUUUAAUUAACUGAAGGUCCUUUUGCAUCUUAAGACUGUACAGAAAUGCUCAAUUCAUUAUAUUGGAUUUGAACUGAAACUAAUUUUAAUUUUUUGAGACAAAGCUUCCAUGCUGUAGCCCAAGCUGGCCUGGAACUAUGUAGCACAGUCUAGCCUCAAAUUCACUGUAUGCUUCCAGCUUCAGCCUCACAAGCACAGGGAUUACAGGUAUCAGUCACAUGCCAGCCUAAAACUAAUUAUCUGUGAAUAUUCAUAAAUGUUCAACAUUUAUCUUAAAGAUCUUUGGUCAAGAUAGACCAUUUAUAAUUUUUUUUGGUUGGUUUUUGUUUUGUUUUUCAAGACAGGGUUUCUCUGUGCAUCAGGCUGUCCUGGAACUCUCUGUGCACCAGGCUGGCCUCACACCUGCCCACUACUACCCAGCUAUAAAAAUUUAAAUUAUAUAUGCAGCUCAGAUAUGGGACAUCACCAAACAAUAAUUUAUAAAGCAUGUAUUAACUAUAACAAAUAUGCAGUGAUUUUAUUGAAACAAGUUCAUUUGUAAGUUUUUAAAAAGAUUUUUAUUUCAUGCAUAUGAGUGUUUUGCCUCCAUGUGUGUACAUGCAGUUUGCAGUAUGUGUAUAUCUGGUGCCCACAAAGGUCAGAAGAGGGCACUCCUGGAACUGGAAUUACUAUGUGGCUGCUAGGAACCAAACUAGGGUCUUCUGCAAAAGUUGCAAGUGCUCUUUACCACUAAGCCAUCUCUCCAGCCUCCAUUUGUAAGUCAAACUCAAUAUGCUCUCUAAAACAUCAGUGAGAAAACAUUUUGGUGUGUAUGUGUGGGUAUAUACACAGAGGCUAGAGGUCAACCUUAGGUGCCAUUCCUCAGGAGCCAUCCAUCUUGUUUUUUGAGACAUGGCAUCUCAGCAGGACCUAAAACUCAAUGAUUAGGCUACAAUGACAGGCCAAUGGGCCACAAGGAUCUACCUGUCUCUACCUUCCCAGUGCUGGGAUCAUAAGCACAGGCCAUAUAUUCUAUGCACAUGCCCAGCCUCUUAUAUGAGCGCUAGGAAUCAAGCUCAGGUGUUCAUGUCUCUGUGUCAUGCCCUUUACUGACUAUCUCUGCAGCUCCUACACUUUUUGAUGUUAAAUAUACUUGGCCAGCAUGGUGGUUUACCCUUGCAGUCACAGCACUUGGAAGACUGAGGCAAGGGGAGUGCUAUGAGUUUGUGGCCAGUUUGGCCUAGAUAGAGAUUGUUAUUUUAAAAAAAAAAAAAAAGAAAAAAAAUCCCCAAAUAUUGGAAAACACUAUUUAAAAUGGACUCACAGUAGACUGUGGAUUUACUAAUUAAUUGUGUGUGUGUGGCCAGCUAGUGAUCUACAGAACACUUCAUGUUGGCUUUUAGAAUGAAGAUUCAUGGGGAGAUGGAGAGAUGGCUCAGUUGUUAAGAGUACUUGCUGCUUUUCCAGAGGACCCAGGUUUGACUCCCAUGGCAGCUCACAACUGUCUUUAACUCUAGUCCCAGGAGAUCUGACCCUCUUCUGCCUUUCAGCUUCCCCAGGUGUGCACAGACAUAUAUGUAGGCAAAACACCAUACAUAUAAGAAUAAAUAAAUAAUUUAAAGGAAUAUUCA